rnacentral:rRNA from 1 species
GACGAACGCUGGCGGCGUGCUUAACACAUGCAAGUCGAACGGAAAGGCCCUGCUUUUUUGGGGUGCUCGAGUGGCGAACGGGUGAGUAACACGUGAGUAACCUGCCCUUGACUUUGGGAUAUCUUCAGGAAACUCGUGCUAAUACCGGAGAUGAGCUCCUGCUGCAUGGUGGGGUCUGGAAAGUUUCGGCGGUUGGGGAUGGACUCGCGGCUUAUCAGCUUGUUGGUGGGGUAGUGGCUUACCAAGGCUUUGACGGGUAGCCGACCUGAGAGGGUGACCGGCCACAUUGGGACUGAGAUAGGGACCAGACUCCUACGGGACGCAGCAGUGGGGAAUAUUGCAGAAUGGGCGGAAGCCUGAUGCAGCAACGCCGCGUGCGGGAUGACGGCCUUCGGGUUGUAAACCGCUUUCGCCUGUGACGAAGCGUGAGUGACGGUAAUGGGUAAAGAAGCACCGGCUAACUACGUG